GUGAUCAGUUUGGUAGUACAUAGAGUAAAACUGGAAGAAUACAGAGAUUAGUAUGGCCCCUGCCAAAGAAUGACAUACAAAUUUGUGAAGUAUUACAUAUUUUU